rnacentral:rRNA from 1 species
GUAGUCCACGCCCUAAACGAUGUCGACUAGUUGUUCGGAGCGGUAACGCUUUGAGUAACGCAGCUAACGCGUGAAGUCGACCGCCUGGGGAGUACGGCCGCAAGGUUAAAACUCAAAGGAAUUGACGGGGACCCGCACAAGCGGUGGAUGAUGUGGAUUAAUUCGAUGCAACGCGAAAAACCUUACCUACCCUUGACAUGCCAGGAACCCUUGAGAGAUCGAGGGGUGCCUUCGGGAGCCUGGACACAGGUGCUGCAUGGCUGUCGUCAGCUCGUGUCGUGAGAUGUUGGGUUAAGUCCCGCAACGAGCGCAACCCUUGUCGUUAAUUGCCAGCAUUGAGUUGGGCACUUUAGCGAGACUGCCGGUGACAAACCGGA